GUGUAUAAGAGACAGGGCUAUUACCUUAGCCUUCCAAGCUAAUGAUGCGGGUUCGAUUCCCGCUGCCCGCUCCA
rnacentral:tRNA from 1 species